rnacentral:tRNA from 1 species
GGUCGUGUGGCCUAACGGAUAAGGCGUCGGACUUCUAUUAGACAUUAGUGACAUCCGAAAAUUGCGGGUUCGAAUCCCGCCACGAUUA